rnacentral:rRNA from 1 species
AGUGAACGUUGGCGGCGUGGAUUAGGCAUGCAAGUCGAGCGAGAACCGUAGCAAUACGGGGACAGCGGCGAAAGGGACAGUAAUGUGUAGGUACCUACCCCGAGGUCUGGGAUAGCUGCGGGAAACUGCAGGUAAUACCGGAUAAUGUCUUCGGACCAAAGGUGUGAUUCCACCUUGGGAGGGGCCUGCAUCCUAUUAGCUAGUUGGCGGGGUAAUGGCCCACCAAGGCGACGAUGGGUAGCGGGUGUGAGAGCACGACCCGCGUCAUUGGGACUGAAACACUGCCCAGACACCUACGGGUGGCUGCAGUCGAGGAUCUUCGGCAAUGGGCGAAAGCCUGACCGAGCGACGCCGCGUGCGGGAUGAAAGCCUUCGGGUUGUAAACCGCUGUCGUAGAGGAGGAAAUGCAGGUGGGUUCUCCCAUCUGUUUGACCUAUUCUAGGAGGAAGUACGGGCUAAGUUCGUGCCAGCCGCCGCGGUAA